rnacentral:rRNA from 1 species
UUUAUACAUGCAAGUCGAACGAUGAAGUUCCUUCGGGAAUGGAUUAGUGGCGAACGGGUGAGGAACACGUGAGAAACCUGCCUUUCAUUCUGGGAUAACACCGGGAAACCGGUGCUAAUACCGGAUACUCCAUCUUGGCGGCAUCGCCGAGCUGGGAAAAAAUUUUGAUGAAAGAUGGUCUCGCGGCCUAUCAGCUAGUUGGUGAGGUAAAGGCUCACCAAGGCGACGACGGGUAGCCGGCCUGAGAGGGCGACCGGCCACACUGGGACUGAGACACGGCCCAGACUCCUACGGGAGGCAGCAGUAGGGAAUAUUGGGCAAUGGGCGAAAGCCUGACCCAGCGACGCCGCGUGAGGGAUGAAGGUCUUCGGAUUGUAAACCUCUUUCAGUAGGGAAGAAGCGAAAGUGACGGUACCUAAAGAAGAAGCACCGGCUAACUAUGUGCCAGCAGCCGCGGUAAUACAUAGGGUGCAAGCGUUGUCCGGAAUUAUUGGGCGUAAAGAGCUCGUAGGUCGUUUGUCGCGUCGAUUGUGAAAAUCUGAGGCUCAACCUCAGACCUGCAGUCGAUACGGGCAAACUAGAGUGUGGUAGGGGAGACUGGAAUUCCUGGUGUAGCGGUGGAAUGCGCAGAUAUCAGGAGGAACACCAAUGGCGAAGGCAGGUCUCUGGGCCAUAACUGACACUGAGGAGCGAAAGUGCGGGGAGCGAACAGGAUUAGAUACCCUGGUAGUCCGCACCGAAAACGGUGGGCACUAGUUGUGGGAA